GUUCGGAUGGCGCCCCCAGUCCCCGCUCCUCUCUGCCGCUCCUACGGUGCCCGACCAACUCCCUGCUCCAAAUUUCCUCUGCGCCGGCCACCUGGGAGGAUCGAGCUCGCCCCUCCGUGCCCAGCCAGCACCUGCGCGCCGCGAUUUCCUCUCCAUCUCCCUCAAGCUCGUCGAGCGGUUCUUCCCCCAGCGCAUCCUCUGCCCUGGUCGACGUUUCUCUCUCUCCUCGCCUCGCCCAUGGCCGAGCGCUCCUCUGCUCGGAUCUCGCCCGUCCGCGCUCAGCCUCUGCUACCAGUUCCUCAUGGCGCCCGGCCAAGUUUCUCUGCGCGCCGUGCUCUCUGCUCUCCCUGUGCAGCUCCCUGGUCCUUGCUUCUUUCUUUCUAUACUCAUCCCCAAGAUGCAUCCUGGACUUUGAGUUCGUCAUCUUCAACCUUGGUCCAAGCCACUCGCUCUCUGCCGCGCGCCAUGGAAUUCUCUGCGAGCUCAUCGCCCUUCCUGCUCCAUUUUUCCUAGCGCGUCACCGAUUCUCCUUGCUCCCUGCGCCGCGGUUUCUCAGCUCGCCGCCGUCGCCGCGUUCUGCUCGGUUCCGUUUGCCGCGCCCCUGCGCUCGUCGCGGUGCUCCAACUCGGAUUCAGUCCUGCGCGCAACCGCUUUUCAUCUCCCUGCUUAGCUCGCCGCGCCGAACUGCCCAGCGCCGCGCGCCUAGCUCAGCCGUCUCUAGCUCGCCUUGCUCCCUGUCGUCGCUCAACUUGCCGGCAUGCGUCCAACUCCAUACGCGCCCAGCGCCGUGCGCCGGGCGCGCGAAGCUCUCUGUUCGUCGUUAUCGCUCGGUCGCACGACAGACUGAUUGCGUGUCGUGUGUCGCACAUCCUAGGUCCUCGUCGUCGUAUCGUGCGUGCAACAGUCCCAGAUUUGUGCCGCCCCGGCCUUGUUGUCGACAUCGCUCGCCGUAGCUCAGCUUGCUAGUUCGUCGUGCCGCGUCGUGUGUCGAUAUUCUCUUCCGGUAGGCCUCGCCGUCGACCAUGUUCAAGUGAUUGUUUGGCUCCUCGCAUCCCGCCUAUUCAAUAAAACACCCAAAUCCAUAGACUGUCGACACACUGUUGCCAUACGCGGCUGUCUCCGUCACUUGCGUCAGCUCGCCAGACCUACAGCUCCAUAUAUGUCACUCUCCCGUAUCGUCGUCGAGCCCGACGAACCUCGUUCUUUUCUGCUCGAUCUCGUCGAACCACGAAUCCCGG
rnacentral:misc_RNA from 1 species